UCUCUUGUAGCUCAGUGGUAGAGCGUUCGACCGAUGCGCGGAAGGUCAUAGGUUCGACUCCUGUUGGGAGAA
rnacentral:tRNA from 1 species